rnacentral:lncRNA from 1 species
GUUUGGUUCCUACAAUGGUGUUCUUUUCUGAAAAAGUGGUCGUGUUACGGCCUGUCACACCCCAAUAGUCCCAUAUCGGGUAGUUAUGGCUAGACGUUGGAGUAUAUAAGUUUGAUUGGGCUAGAUAUAAUAACUGGGUUUAAGUAUUUUGGGCCGAUGUUGGGCCCAACGAGUUAUUAUUGCUAGUGGGCUGGGUCGUUACAUUUGGUAUCAGAGCCAAUCACCAGCGGAAAAAUGUGUGGCGAGUCUCGACUGAAUCAGGGUCUGAAAGACAAGGUGAUAGGCAAUGCCGGAGUCUGUAUUACAAGGUGACCGGCUAUGCGAGGAUCUGGAUGACAAGGCUAACGAGACGAGUCUCACACCGCCUGGUGAUCUUGCGCUGUGUGUGUGAUGGGACUGACGAGCUUAAGCAUUUUGGGCCGGUGGUUGGGCCCAACGAGUUAUUGUUGCUAGUGGGCUGGGUCGUUACACGGCCCAUGAGCCCUAUGCGGCAACUUUGUAGUUGGGGUUAUAUGCUCGAUGAUUGAUAAUAGCUGAGGAAUUGUUUGAGGUCGUAAAAUAAAUAUGAUAGUAUUCGGGUUGGGUUUUGAUAUUGGACUGUACGUUCGGUUGAUACAUAUAUAUAUUAAUUUGAUUAUUUUUAUUAUAGUAGCAAUACUAUUUCAAUUAUCUGGUCACAUCCUUUCUUUCCUACUUUACUUUUCACUACUGUAUCAGCUAUGCAUGUUUAUACCUUUCAUAUUUAUCUUAUCGUUCUCUUUUGUUGACCAGUGAAUAUAGCUUAUACCUUCGAUGACUUACGGUAUCUACUAGAAAACAUGUGUACAUAUUUCUCACCCCCUAUUUUAUAUAGGUGACACUGGUGGUGAGGUUCAAGACAAUGUGUG